AACGAACGCUGGCGGCAUGCCUUACACAUGCAAGUCGAACGGCAGCGCGGGGCAACCUGGCGGCGAGUGGCGAACGGGUGAGUAAUAUAUCGGAACAUACCCUAGAGUGGGGGAUAACGUAGCGAAAGUUACGCUAAUACCGCAUACGCACUAAGGUGGAAAGUGGGGGAUUCGCAAGAACCUCAUGCUUAUGGAGUGGCCGAUAUCUGAUUAGCUAGUUGGUGAGGUAAAGGCUCACCAAGGCAACGAUCAGUAGCUGGUUUGAGAGAACGACCAGCCACACUGGAACUGAGACACGGUCCAGACUCCUACGGGAGGCAGCAGUGGGGAAUUUUGGACAAAUUGGGGGGGCAACCCUGAUCCAGCAAUGCCGCGUGAGUGAAGAAGGCC
rnacentral:rRNA from 1 species